rnacentral:rRNA from 1 species
AGUGAACGCUGGCGGUAGGCCUAACACAUGCAAGUCGAACGGCAGCACAGUAAGAGCUUGCUCUUACGGGUGGCGAGUGGCGGACGGGUGAGGAAUACAUCGGAAUCUACUUUUUCGUGGGGGAUAACGUAGGGAAACUUACGCUAAUACCGCAUACGACCUACGGGUGAAAGCAGGGGAUCUUCGGACCUUGCGCGAUUGAAUGAGCCGAUGUCGGAUUAGCUAGUUGGCGGGGUAAAGGCCCACCAAGGCGACGAUCCGUAGCUGGUCUGAGAGGAUGAUCAGCCACACUGGAACUGAGACACGGUCCAGACUCCUACGGGAGGCAGCAGUGGGGAAUAUUGGACAGUGGGCGCAAGCCUGAUCCAGCCAUACCGCGUGUGUGAAGAAGGCCUUCGGGUUGUAAAGCCCUUUUGUUGGGAAAGAAAAGCAGCAGGUUAAUACCCCGCUGUUCUGACGGUACCCAAAGAAUAAGCACCGGCUAACUUCGUG